ensembl:lncRNA
GGCCAACGACCGUCUGGCGGAGGCCAACGCCAAGCUCCUGGGCGAGCGUCACCGCAGCAAGUCGCUGAUCGCCAGCAGCAUGGCCAACGGCAGCCUGGGGGGCCCCCCGCUGGACCUGGGCUCCCUGGGCUCGCUGCCCGCCUACGGGGCCUCCCUGGGGGGCCUGGGCCUGGGGCCCGGGGGCAGCCCCUUGGGGGGGCGGCAGGGCAGCAGAGUGGAGGAUUACCUGGCCAAGGGCUGGAGAGUGAGAGAGCUCAUGCAAAUCAAGACGUUUUAUCCUGUUUACCGCAGCAAGUAAAUACAAGGAUGUGAGGAUUCCCCAG